rnacentral:rRNA from 1 species
UUGACCUCAAAUCAGGUAGGACUACCCGCUGAACUUAAGCAUAUCAAUAAGCGGAGGAAAAGAAACUAACAAGGAUUCCCCUAGUAACUGCGAGUGAAGCGGGAAAAGCUCAAAUUUAAAAUCUGGCGGUCUUGCGGCCGUCCGAGUUGUAAUCUGGAGAAGCGUUUAUCCGCGUCGGACCGUGUACAAGUCUUCUGGAAGGGAGCGUCGUAGAGGGUGAGAAUCCCGUCUUUGACACGGACAACCGGUGCUUUUGUGAUGCGCUCUCGAAGAGUCGAGUUGUUUGGGAAUGCAGCUCAAAAUGGGUGGUAAAUUCAUCUAAA